rnacentral:rRNA from 1 species
AAUGAACGCUGGCGGCAGGCCUAACACAUGCAAGUCGAACGCGUGGCGGACGGGUGUGUAAUGUCUGGGAAACUGCCUGAUGGAGGGGGAUACCUACGGGAAACGGUAGCUAAUACCGCAUAGCAUCAGAUGUGACCAGAUGGGAUUAGGGUGUUGGUGGGGUAACGGCUAACCAAGGCAACGAUCCCUAGCUGGUCUGAGAGGAUGAACAGCCACACUGUAACUGAGACACGGUCCAGACUCCUACGGGAGGCAGCAGUGGGGAAUAUUGCGCAAUGGGCGCAAGCCUGAUGGAGCCAUGCCGCGUGUAUGAAGAAGGCCUUCGGGUUGUAAAGUACUGUUAUCGGGGAGGCGUUACCCACAGAAGAAGCACCGGCUAACUCCGUGCCAGCAGCCGCGGUAAUUC